CGUGUGGCGUCACCGUCCUUAUUCACCAGACCUGGCUCCGUGUGACUCCUGGCUCUUCCCCAAAGUCACAAUGACCUUGAAAGGUAAGUGUUUUGAAUCAGCGCAAGACAUUGAGGCAGCCAGGACUGCUCAACUAAAGAUGUUCUGGAAAGAGGACUCCAGAGCUGCUGCAGAAAGUGGCGAGAAGGACGGAGUGUGUGUGAAGUGUUUUAGCGGGAGCAGCAGCCGUGUGUCUUUUACUGGAAUACUUUUUCAAAUGCGGACGUUCAUCACAGAUUCCGAUCACACCCCAUGCACAUUGCCUCACAGGGCAGGGCCUCACCCAGGCGUGCACUUCUGGACAGCCACGGGGACAAGCUUGCCUGGCCUCCACCCGAAGGGGACCUGGACCAGUGCUGCGGGCCUGCCAUGUUGGAGGUUGUGCGUGGGUUCCAGUGAGGGGCAAGCACCCAUUCUCAGAUAUCAAAGCGUCUCAGCUGGGCACCCUCUUCUCGAGAGCCCAAUGAAGGAGGAGGUGACCCGCCCCCCAGGGUUCCCAGCAGAGCCCGAGGACCAACGUGCCCUAUCAUCAGUAACUGGUUUUCCCGAAAGCCUCGUCGUUUCGUAAGUCAGAAACCGGCCUUGCCAGUCGAGCAGUCUCACUGCUCUGGCUUGGAAAGGUCACAUCCAGGUCCUUGACCUCAUGCAUGGAAGGUUCUGACCUGCACCAGAGGCCCCCGGGAGGCCGAACCUCUGAAGACCUGGAGGACUUGAUCUCCCUGCGAAUGCCUCCUUGUCAGUUGCCGCCCCAUAUUUACUUGCUAAUUCUGCUUUUGACUUGUGGAUCUCAUUUGCCUUUCAGAUGAAUUUAAUAAUUCUUUAAAAGGAGAACUUGGGACCGGUACAUGGAGCAGCUUUAUCGUGCCCCUGGCCAUCUCCGGGCUACAUUGGCGUCAUUCUCUCCGAAGCCAAGGGUGUGUUUUGAAUCAAAACUGCCUGCCUGGCCUGCCAAGAAGUGGAUGCAGAGCUGACCUGUUCUUAGUUUUUUGGAUGCCACAGAAAUGGGGCUGCCAUUCCGCUGGCGAGGUGGGGAGCCAGCUGUCCCUGCGCAGACGGAAGUGUUCAUGCUGAUGGGAGCCGGGCCGGGGUCCUGCUGUUCUUUGCAGGGAGAAGGAGAUGCACACAGCCCUUGCUCUUAUGUCCACACUCCGGGGCUCACACCAGGCGUUGGUUCUGUGCACACAAGAAGUGCGAGUGCUGCUGGGUCAGAUUGCCUGGGUUCCCACCUGUCCCUACUCAUCCUGGGCACCCCAGGUUUGUCCAAACCUGGCUCAUCGUCUGUGAAGUCUGUGGAGGGAGGUGGCAGUACCUGGCAGAUCCCAAGCAUUGGGUCAGUAUUUGCGGUAGCAGUGACAGCAGUCAUCGACACAGAUGGGCCAGGAUGUUGCCCGCAGUUCUGCACAACUGACUUCCCUGACUAGCACAACAGGCCUUGGGGACGUGGCGGGGCCAGGGUGGUGGCAUUCUGCUCCACGCCAGGAAGGUGGACUGGGCCGGGCUGGAGAGUUG
rnacentral:lncRNA from 1 species